rnacentral:rRNA from 1 species
UACGUAGGGGGCGAGCGUUGUCCGGAUUCAUUGGGCGUAAAGAGCUCGUAGGCGGCUUGGUAAGUCGGGUGUGAAACCUCCAGGCUCAACCUGGAGACGCCACUCGAGACUGCCCUGGCUGGAGUCCGGUAGGGGACCACGGAAUUCCUGGUGUAGCGGUGAAAUGCGCAGAUAUCAGGAGGAACACCAGUGGCGAAGGCGGUGGUCUGGGCCGGUACUGACGCUGAGGAGCGAAAGCGUGGGGAGCGAACAGGAUUAGAUACCCUGGUAGUCCACGCCGUAAACGUUGGGCACUAGGUGUGGGACCUUAUCAACGGGUUCCGUGCCGCAGCUAACGCAUUAAGUGCCCCGCCUGGGGAGUACGGCCGCAAGGCUAAAACU